UACGGAGGGUGCAAGCGUUGUUCGGAAUUAUUGGGCGUAAAGGGCAGGUAGGUGGUCUUAAAAGUCUGCUGUGAAAUCCCCGAGCUUAACUUGGGAAGUGCGGCAGAUACUCUAAGACUAGAGUGCUGGAGGGGUUCGUGGAAUUCCCGGUGUAGCGGUGAAAUGCGUAGAUAUCGGGAAGAACACCAAUGGCGAAGGCAAUGUUCUGGCUCGUUUCUGACGCUCAGGUGCGAAAGCCAGGGGAGCGAACGGG
rnacentral:rRNA from 1 species